rnacentral:lncRNA from 1 species
CUCAUGGCAGAGAGAAGCGUGACGGCUGUGGGGGGCAGCCCUCUGCAAAUAGCGAAAACCUUGAGGGCUUCUUCAAUUAAAAAUAAUCCCAUGGCCUGAGCGGUACCAGCUUUGCCGAUUGAGACAAGACUAGCCAGGGAACUGCAGCCUUGAGGAGGCUGGCAGAACCAGACUGACUUGUGGUGGUUUGGUCAUUGGUUGGUUAGAACCAGAUUGUGCCUCAUCCACCUCGCCCUUCCCAGUGAAAGUGAGCAGAGGGAGGGCUGCACGUAGUAAUGAGAUAAUGACAGGACAGCCCCACACCCGACCCAAAUCCCUGACAGAAAUCAGCCUGUGCUGGAAGGAAUGACAGAGGAUGCUCUUUUGGAAGCAGCCAUAAGGAGUGAUGGGAUCUGUGAUACACUGGAUGAAAAGGUAUAUCAGAAAUGGGGACUCUAACUUCAUUUUUUGAUAAAUGAACUAUGCAACUCUCCAGGUACUCGGGAUCACGCCUGCAUGUCAGCUGCCCAUGCACAGCAUCUGACACCACAGGACAUCAGAGAUGGUCCAUGGAGCAGUUAACUUGCUGCUCUGGAUACACAGGAGGUUCUUUUCUGCACAAGGCAGCAAGUUCCAGCACCCAUGUUUGCUCACUAUAUACUAUAUGUUUCUGCUAGAAUAAAGUUCCUCUUCAUUCCA